rnacentral:lncRNA from 13 species
AAUUAUGUGCCAGGAAAUGUCCUUGGCCUCUCCAUAGUUUUAGGGUUAAUCCUCCAAGCAAUCCUGUGAAGUAGGCACCUUAUCUCAAUGACACUGAGGCACAGAGAAGCUAUUCAACAAACUCAAAUCCUCCCUCUGUCCCUGAUGAGCUGAGGUCAUUCAGCUCAUCAGAGACAGAGGGAGGAUUUGCACCCUGGCCUUCUGAGUUACCUGCUGGCUCUGCAGCCCCUCAAGUCCUUAGUUCCUACUCUAGAGGGGAUAAAUCAGAGCUUCUCAACCUGUCAGGAACUGUGAUGACCUCCAUGGUUCAGCUUGACUUCACUAAAAGAUCCUGAUGGCUUCCAAAAUGACAGCUAUUUCCCUUGCAGAGUUUUGCACACUGUCUUCUACAUCUUAACAGGACUCCCCUGGAGGACAGUUUCAGGCAGGAUCAGCUUCAUGGGAACGCCACCUGUGCAGUCAGGCAGAGCACAUGCUUAGCAGUCUGCCUAUGCCUUAAUUCAUUCUUAAUAUUUCUUGAACAAGUGCCCUGCAUUUUUAUUUGCACCGGGCUCUGCAAAUUAUGUAGCCCAUCCUGAUUUCAGAGAAAGUUCAUGACCUUCAACUGGAGGCAGGUGGUGGCGGUGCUACUCCACUGGAAGGACAGACAUCCAAGGUCUUGGCAGAAGGGCACCCUGGGAUGAUGGAGAUUCCAUCCAGUUCUUUGCAUUCCACUUUCCCAAGACAGAGCUGCGAGGUUAGCAUGCAGCAGGGUAGAGUUCUCAUAUUCACAUUUUCUCUCUCUCCUUCCUGCAGGCUGUAGAUGAACCAGACAAGGCCAGGUGGAGGUUAUGCUCCCUCUGGGCCCAGCAUUGAAGACUCACCCUUAGGCUUCCUUGACAGCCUCAGAUUUCUUUCUGACUCUGCUGGGCUUUCAGCCAAAGGCAGCCCAGCUGGCUGUGCCUGGGGUAAGAAAAUUUAAACUUCGAAGUGAGAAAAAAGAGACAACAGCUGCUGCUUCUCCAAGAUAAAAUAAGAAUGACUAUGGCUUCCAGACAAUCACCUGGACUUACCAGAAACAGACUCAUUGAAUCAGGAGAACUGGCUUCCACAUUCUGCAGCCUCUCUUCCUCCCUCCAACAUGAGUAAGCUCUCUGUAGUCUCUCCUCCUUUCCCCUACCAAAAUGUAAAACAGCUGAUAAAGCACUAAUGCCAAGUCAUAAAUAAUUGUUCAGACAAUGAGUACAUGCUCACAAAGGGGUGUGCAUUUUAAUGGGAACAAAUCCUGUUAAGCUAAAAAAUGAACCAUCAAUAGUGAAAUUGCUUGCACAGCAGGCAGAGGUAGGAAGACAUUUAAGAUGGUUGGAAAGGAAGAACUUUCUUGAACUCUGAAAACUCAUCAAGUCUGCAAGCUGGGCUGAUUCAUCAGGCCAACUGUGCCAAAUAGGUAGAGAGGAGAGAUUUAAGCACCAGGGCAGGG